rnacentral:rRNA from 1 species
GGAGUUUGGGCCGUGUCUCAGUCCCAAUGUGGCCGUUUACCCUCUCAGGCCGGCUACUGAUCGUCGCCUUGGUGGGCCGUUACCUCGCCAACUAGCUAAUCAGACGCGGGUCCAUCUCACACCACCGGAGUUUUUCACACUGUAUCAUGCGAUACUGUGCGCUUAUGCGGUAUUAACAGUCGUUUCCAACUGUUAUCCCCCUGUGUGAGGCAGGUUACCCACGCGUUACUCACCCGUCCGCCACUAAGUACUUCAAAUGAUUCUUCAGAAGCAAGCUUCCUCAGUCUCGGGAGAAGUACUCCGUUCGACUUGCAUGUGUUAAGCACGCCGCCAGCGUUCAUC